rnacentral:rRNA from 1 species
GAUGAACGCUGGCGGCGUGCCUAAUACAUGCAAGUCGAGCGAACAGACGAGGAGCUUGCUCCUCUGACGUUAGCGGCGGACGGGUGAGUAACACGUGGAUAACCUACCUAUAAUACUGGGAUAACUUCGGGAAACCGGAGCUAAUACCGGCUCAUAUAUUGAACCGCAUGGUUCAAUAGUGAAAGACGGUUUUGCUGUCACUUAUAGAUGGAUCCGCGCCGGAUUAGCUAGUUGGUAAGGUAACGGCUUACCAAGGCAACGAUGCGUAGCCGACCUGAGAGGGUGAUCGGCCACACUGGAACUGAGACACGGUCCAGACUCCUACGGGAGGCAGCAGUAGGGAAUCUUCCGCAAUGGGCGAAAGCCUGACGGAGCAACGCCGCGUGAGUGAUGAAGGUCUUCGGAUCGUAAAACUCUGUUAUUAGGGAAGAACAAAUGUGUAAGUAACUAUGCACGUCUUGACGGUACCUAAUCAGAAAGCCACGGCUAACUACGUG